AUUGAACGCUGGCGGCAUGCCUUACACAUGCAAGUCGAACGGCAGCAUGGAGAGCUUGCUCUCUGAUGGCGAGUGGCGAACGGGUGAGUAAAGCAUCGGAACGUACCGUGUAGUGGGGGAUAACGUAGCGAAAGUUACGCUAAUACCGCAUACGCACUGAGGUGGAAAGCAGGGGAUCGUAAGACCUUGCGCUAUACGAGCGGCCGAUGUCAGAUUAGCUCGUUGGUAGGGUAAAGGGCUAACAAGGCGACGAUCUGUAACGGGUCGGAGAGGAUGAACCGCCACACUGGGACUGAGACACGGCCCAGAGUCCGACGGGAGGCAGCAGUGGGGAAAUUUGGACAAUGGGGGCAACCCUGAUCCAGCCAUGCCGCGUGAGUGAAGAAGGCCUUCGGGUUGUAAAGCUCUUUCGGCCGGGAAGAAAUCGCACAGGCUAAUACCCUGUGUGGAUGACGGUACCGGCAUAAGAAGCACCGGCUAACUACGUGCCAGCCGCCGCCGUAA
rnacentral:rRNA from 1 species